GAAAGCUGAUUUUCGGUCAUGUAAAGUAUUCUUUCAUUGUGACUGUUGGCUGCUAGACGUAGCAGUACGAUUAGUGGUUCGGCGGUUAUCCCUUUCAGGCGGCUGUACAACAUUUUUGAGAAAUUAAUGCUCAAAAUUGUUUGAAUCUGUUCGUUGGACCAUGACUUUCUAUAUUUCAAUAUGCAUUUUGUAGACGAAGCACUGCUUAAAUUUCUGGGGGUAUGGUGCUACCAUGAAUAUUCAAGACUGGUUGAAAAAAGAACAAACUUCUGCUAUCCCGACUCCCGACAUUCUUCAGAACUUCAAUAUCUAUUCUUUCCUUUUCCUCCACCCCGUCGGGGGCGGUGCCCCUGAUCGGGUGGAGGCGCUCCUAAGGGCUUGCAUGGUAGGCGUGUUGGCCUACUGUGCGAGUCCUUGGAGUUUUUAGUUUUUUUCUGUUGCAGAUGACAGUGAGUUUUAAAUUUACUAUUACUAGUAAUUUUUUGAACUGAUAAUCUUAGUAAUUUCGGUUGCUUGGCGUCGCACUAAAUGUUUUGUACAUAUGCAAUGGAUUGUUUAAAAUUUAAUCUAGGAGUUCCUGUCUCAACAGUUAACUUGCAUUAGUAAGCCAUAUAUUAAGCAUGGUUUUAAGGUUAUUGAAUUAAUCAGCUUUAUCCACUCUGGUUUUUUUUUUUUCAUCAGUUUGGUCAGUUUUUCAUAUUUAACUAAAUUUUCAGUUUAGGUCAGUUUGAUCGUUAUAGAAAAAAUACAGUAUGAUUACUUCGGGAUUAGUGUUUCUGGCAUUUCAAGGUUCAUAUUUCAUUUUUAGUUUUGGAUCAUAAUCUAUUAAAAUCUUGAAAUCCAUGGGUAUAACCUUUUAGAUAUUUGGUAGAUGUUAGUAUUUUGAAGGUUUUUUAUGCAUUUUGUAAUUAAAGAUUUUGAAAAAAAAGGACUUGAUGAGCAAAAGUGUUUAAAAGUUAACUUUCAUUUUUUUUCUUUGUAUGAAGGAAGGUUUACUUUUGAUUUAGUUUUAUACAAAGUUUUUCCUGUUGCUUUUCAUGAAUGGCAGUUGACCUUGCUCUGAGGGGUUUAGAAUGGCGGAAUCAAGGAUUUGGAGUAAUUGUGUGAUUAGUUCGCGGAAUAUUCCUUUCUACAUCUGUUACAAAAGCGAGACUUUGUUAAUUUUAGUUUUGAAGUGUGAUAAAACUGGUUUUGAGAAUAAAUCAUUCUGUAACCAAAGAUUCGUGAUUAAGAUUCUGUGUGCACCAUCCUGUAAUUACCAAUGUUUGUAACCACAUAAAAUUGACCCUGAUUGUCAUAAAAAGGGUACACAAGUUAAAUGCUUUUUUUUCUUUCUUUCUUUCUUUAAAGAUUCAAGGAUAUAAAAUUUCUAUUUGUCUUAGUAGUUCUUAAUUGGGUCAGUACUGUAUAUAAAAUAAUUA